CAGCCGCCGCGGGAACACGUAGGGUGCGAGCGUUAAUCGGAAUUACUGGGCGUAAAGCGUGCGCAGGCGGUUAUAUAAGACAGAUGUGAAAUCCCCGGGCUCAACCUGGGACCUGCAUUUGUGACUGUAUAGCUAGAGUACGGUAGAGGGGGAUGGAAUUCCGCGUGUAGCAGUGAAAUGCGUAGAUAUGCGGAGGAACACCGAUGGCGAAGGCAAUCCCCUGGACCUGUACUGACGCUCACGCACGAAAGCGUGGGGAGCAAACAGGAUUAGAUACCCGUGUAGUCCCUGUCUCUUAUAC
rnacentral:rRNA from 1 species